UACGUAGGGUGCAAGCGUUGUUCGGAAUUACUGGGCGUAAAGCGUGCGUAGGCGGCUUUGCAAGUCAGAUGUGAAAUCCCCGGGCUUAACCUGGGAACUGCAUUUGUUACUGCAUGGCUGGAGUGCGGCAGAGGGGGAUGGAAUUCCGCGUGUAGCAGUGAAAUGCGUAGAUAUGCGGAGGAACACCGAUGGCGAAGGCAGGCCCCUGGGCCGGCACUGACGCUCAUGCACGAAAGCGUGGGGAGCAAACAGG
rnacentral:rRNA from 1 species